rnacentral:lncRNA from 1 species
UGUAUUUCGAAAUUACAUGGGCCUGGCCCAAUAAUAAGGUGACGCAGCACCUAAAAUAGCCUCGGGACGAAAUUUAUGAAGUGGCGUCUUGUAUAUUUCGUCCAAGGCUUCAUGCACCCAUUAUGGUGGCUUCAAAGUCCUGAAAUCAUCACUUGUAACUCCGUUCUUGUUUCCCUUGCGCAUGCCAUCAUCUCCAUGCUUGUUCUUGCUCCAAUGUUCAUCCUUCUCCAAGCUAGGCCCUUCAUUUGUAAGCAAAACAAAUGUAUCCAAUUUAGGCAGCAUCAUAUUCUCAUGAACAUUAGAAUCAUUACCAAGAAACGAAAGUACCUGGUAAUUUAGUUGGCGUGCACGAGCUCUAGUAAUUGGUCCAGUAUGUAUAGCAGCAGGGGCUGUGGGUGUAACAAUUGUAUUGAUGUCCUCAUCACUUCAUUUGUUGCUCAAAUUCUUUUGCCACAAUCUGAUUUUCACUCUUAUUCGUCUCCUGUUUUGCUUUAUUAGCUCUAUUAAUAUCAUCUUUCAAAAUGGAAUCAGGAGUCAUAGGAAGCAAAGUAAUAUUUUUAUCCUUAUGAACAAGAGUAUAGUGAUUGUUUCUACCAUGGUGUACAGAAUUUUUAUCAAAUUGCCAUGGUCUACCAAGUAAUAAGGAACAUGCUUGCAUAGGUACCACAUCACAAUCAACAUAAUCAGCAUAUGUAGAGAUACUAAAAUGCACAUGAACAGUACGUGUUACCUUAACCUUGCCGCUGUUGUUGAACCAUUGGAUGUAGUAAGGAUGUGGAUGUGGUCUUGUGGUGAGAGAUAGCUUCUCCACCAUCUCCAUGCUAGCCAAGUUAUUGCAGCUCCCUCCAUCUAUGAUCACGCGAACAGAACAUUCCUUCACAACUCCCUUUGUAUGGAACAAAUUAUGCCUCUGAUUUUGCUCAGCUUGUGUAACCUGCACACUCAAAACACGUUGAGCAACUAAACAUUCAUACCUGUCAGCAUCUUCAGGAGCCAUGUAUUGCGUCUCAUGAUCAGAAUCGUCUCCACCGUGUUCGUCACGUGUAAUAAGAGCCAAAGUCUCCUCAUCAUAGUCACUAGCGGACUCAUACCCACCAUCCUCAGUAACAAUCAUCACACGCUUAGAUGGGCAUUCUCUCGCAUAAUGACCUCCACCCUUGCAACGUCGACAAAUAAUAUCAUGUGUUUGCCCUGUUGAUGCCAUGGAUGAAGAAGAGCUCUUUGCAGGCCCAGAAGGUGUGCUCUUGGCAGAUAGUGGUGAUUGUGCUUGCUUUAUUGUAUCACGGUUGGAGGUGGCAGCCGACGGAGGUGUCGGUGUAGCAGAACGUGUGGAAGUAGAUGAUGCACGUGGUGUCCAUGAUGAAGGUCGACCUGCAGAAAAGUUAGUCCGCGCCAAUGCCUGUCGAUCCUGCACUUCACGUUCAGCUUUACAAGCAAGAUGGAAUAAACGAGUGAUAUUAGUAUACUCCUUAUACUCUAGAAUUGUCUGAAUCUCUCUAUUUAAUCCACCCAUAAAACGUGCAAGCAUAGCUUCAUUCUCCUCAACAAUACCACAUCUAAUCAUGCCAGUUUGUAAUUCCUGUCUACAGAAUUUUUUCCCUGUCUUAAGCGCUGCAAUUUUUGAAGUAAUUCACGUUGAUAAUAUGGUGGAACCCAACGAGUACGCAUAGCAGUUUUCAAAGCAGCCCAAGUAGCGGGAAUAGGAUAUAAUCUACAAUGCUCAGACCACCAAACACAUGCAAAACUAGUGAAUGCACAAACAGCAGCAGGAACACGUCUCUCCUUGGGAUAUUGUAAACAUGUAAAUCGUUGUUCAGUUUCUAACUCCCAAGUAAGAUAUAUAUCAGGAACAUAUCUACCCUCAAAUGGUGGAAUAUUCAAUUUUAGUUUAGGGAGAUGGUCAUGAUCUCGUACCUGAGGGUGAGCCCUAGCAUUGCCAUUAUUUGCAUGUGGACGACCUGGUGGUUGCUGUGCUGGUGGUGGCACGUAUUUCUGAUUUUGAUCAACCUCAUCCUCAUAAUCUCCCACAUAAUCAUCCUCCUCCACAUCAGCAGUAGGAGCCACAGAAGUAUCAACAGCAGCACCAGCAGUUUGCCCCGACUGAAGAGGGACACGGCUCGCUCGGCGGAGGGCUGUUUCUCGACGUGGAGGUAGUCUGUGUUGUUGCUGUUGUUGCAGAGGUGCGGCAGGAGCAGCCGGUGGUGGUGGUGGAAAACGCGAAAGCAAUUCAGCAAACUUGUUAUCGAGCUUUGUUUCAAACGUCUUCUCCAUGCCAUCUAUCUUCUCCAUGGCCUCUUCAAAUCUGUUUAUCACAUCUUGCACCUGUACACUCAUCAUUUGCUGAAACGUAUCAUGAAGCUCCUUGUUCGUCAAGUUCUCCCAGUCAGUCUCGUCGGAUUGUGAUCCUGGCAUGGUUAGCAGCAAUAGAAACACACAAGAAUAUGAUCCUACAGACUACUAACAAGUGGUGGUGGUGGCGGGUGUCACAAAUCCGUCAAGCAAAUCUCAAAUUCUUACCAGUUCUUACCCAGCAGCAGGCGGUGAUCGGCAACCGUUGUAGUCAAAAACUGUCAAAAGCUUGGAUAGAGCGAUUGCCAGGGAGAGUCAAACGCACGACGUAGAUGUAUGUGGAGCUGGGAAGGCUUAUAUUAUGGUAGCAAAAAGGGUCAGCAACAAUCAAUUCAGAGAUGCAAAGUUGAAUAAACGCUCAACGACGGUACUGUGCUGGUCCUAGGCUAGACCGUGCUAGAGACGCGAGCCUAGAACACUAACAAAAUCACGGCGCUGCACGUAAAUAAGGGAAAAGCACACUCUGGAACUCUUUUUUUCGCUCUUUUUUCUUUUUUUUUUGCGCUCCUCUUUUUUUUGCGCUCCUCUUGUUUUUUGCGCUCCUCUUUUGUUUUGCGAAAAAUCACUAUAAUGGCGAGUGUCUCAAAACUCUUCCCUCGUCAAACUGAUAGGAUGGGCACGAAUUUUUUUUUCACUUUUUUUUCGGAAAUCAGGGAAGCGACGACGAAAAAGUGCGACAAAAAAUCACUAUGAUGGCACGUGGCUCAAAAGACUUAGAAAAGCCUAAAAAUAGGAUAGGGAAAAAAAAUUUGCCCGUGAAAAUUUUGGCCUAAAAACUGCCCGGGGGUCUCCAGACUCUUUUUUUUUCGAGACCUACGCAGGCAAGGAAACACGAAUCGGAAUUUAGAUUGAUCUCAAGAACAAACCUAAUAUGAGAAGAACUCGGAUUGGUGGUGGAUAUAUGGUUGUGGUAUAUGGCAGCGGUGGUGGUAUAUGGUAGCGGUGGUGGUAUAUGGAUACAGAUUGAUGGUGGUAUAUGGAUACGGAUUGGUGGUGGUAUAUGGAUACGGAUUCAGAGCGGUGGCGGAUAAGCAAUGGUGGUAGAUGGCAAGGCGAUGAUGAUGGUGCGGCGGCGGCGUGACAACUUAUGACCAGAACUCGAAACUCUAAAAGACUAGACUCUAAGACCAGCAACUUGACACGACGAUGCAACCGCAAAUUCAACAAAGCAAAAACCCUAAAACGAUUAUGCAAAGGCUCAGAUUGGUUCGGAUAUGAUGAACUAACCCUAAUUUUUUUGUGGCUUUUUCGUGGACUGUAGGUAUGAAGAACAGACCCGAUCUAAUCUACGAAAAACUGUAAAAUCUCACCGAGCAACCUGGAAAUCUGAUACCACUUGAUAGAGGCUAAGGUGUGAUCGAGGCGAGGGUCCCGAUCUUUCGAUGAGAUGGUGGCUAUCGUUUUCUGUGGGAGUCGACCUUGACGAUCCGACUACGAACGUGCGAGACGUCGCGCCUUAGCAAUCGCUAAACCAACUUCCGAGGGUUAUUGACCACGCCGGAGCACGAUCAACCUGACCACGAGGGUCUGUUUCCUGCGAGCAAACGAAGAACAAGCAAGAAACUGAGAUUGCAAUCGGGAUAUUGCGAAUAUAAGAUGAAAGCUUUAUUGAUCAAGGUGGGGUUCUGUGAUGUCUUGGUCUGGUCGUUGGACACAAACGAAGUACGCGAAGUUGCAGCUAUGGCGAACUUUUAAUCUAAACAAAACCCAAAGUCUAAACGACGCCCUAAGGGCUGUAUAUAUGGAGGAAGAGGGGGGGGAUUUCGUGGCCCUUGAGGGUGGGGUCCGAAACCAACCCUAACUCUUGUUUCCCCACACAUACGGACUCUAAAAAUAGCCUAUACUUAAGUAUUUCGAAAUUACAUGGGCCUGGCCCAUUAAUAAGAUGACGCAGCACCUAGAAUAGCCUAUGGACGAAUAUUAUGAAGUGGCAUCUUGUAUAUUUCGUCCAAGGCUUCAUGCACUCCUUAUGGUGGCUUCAAAGUCCUGAAAUCAUCACUUGUAACUCCGUUCUUGAUCCCCUUGCGCAUGCCAUCAACUCCAUGUGUGUUCUUGCUCCAAUGUUCAUCCUUCUCCAAGCUAGGCCCUUCAUUUGUAAGCAAAACAAAUGUAUCCAAUUUAGGCAGCAUCAUAAUCUCAUGAACAUUAGAAUCAU